GACGGGACCCGCACAAGCGGUGGAUGAUGUGGAUUAAUUCGAUGCAACGCGAAAAACCUUUACCUACCCUUGACAUGUCCGGAAUCCCGAAGAGAUUUGGGAGUGCUCGCAAGAGAGCCGGAACACAGGUGCUGCAUGGCUGUCGUCAGCUCGUGUCGUGAGAUGUUGGGUUAAGUCCCGCAACGAGCGCAACCCUUGUCAUUAGUUGCCAUCAUUUGGUUGGGCACUCUAAUGAGACUGCCGGUGACAAACCGGAGGAAGGUGGGGAUGACGUCAAGUCCUCAUGGCCCUUAUGGGUAGGGCUUCACACGUCAUACAAUGGUCGGUACAGAGGGUUGCCAACCCGCGAGGGGGAGCUAAUCCCACAAAGCCGAUCGUAGUCCGGAUCGCAGUCUGCAACUCGACUGCGUGAAGUCGGAAUCGCUAGUAAUCGUGGAUCAGCAUGUCACGGUGAAUACGUUCCCGGGCCUU
rnacentral:rRNA from 1 species